GGUUAACGCUGGCGGCGUGCCUGACACAUGCAAGUCGAGCGAGGGCUCGUCUCCCGCAAGGGAGAUGGGUUCCUAGCGGCGAACGGGUGAGUAACACGUGGGCAACCUGUCCUUUCGUGGGGGAUAACUCCGGGAAACCGGGGCUAAUACCGCAUGUCGUCGCCGAUGGCAUCUUCGGCGAAAAAAGCAGCAAUGCGCGAGAGGGUGGGCCCGCGGCCUAUCAGCUAGUCGGUGGGGUAACGGCCUACCGAGGCUUUGACGGGUAGCUGGUCUGAGA
rnacentral:rRNA from 1 species